GGGGGGGGGGACCGUUGACAAGUUGCCGGUUUCCUGUCCUCGGCGAGGCCACUAGAAUUAGUGGCUCUCAGGUAAAUUCAGGUACUGCCGACAAUUAUAAGACCAAGCUGGAAGACUGGAUAGUGUUCCAGUACCUACACACAGAGCACAUCCGGCAGAGGCUGGAAGUGCCGGUGACCAUCCAGUUGGUGUCCUUUGCCAAUGCCUCCACACAACAUCUCCCUUAUGCAUUGCCAAGAUGAUUGCAAUUACUUAGCCCUGACAGAUGCCAAAACUUUGGGCAGACCUGAGGAACUCAUCUCAAUAGAAGACAGUAUAGCCAAAAUAGAAGAAGCCUACGAGCUGCAUUUAUAUAUACAGUAUAUAUAUAUGCAGGUUAGUAAGAGUGAGACCCUGAGGUUGCGCCAUCCUGGGGUCCUGGCCGCUGACUGACUCUUGGACGAGGUGAUCUGCUACAAACUGAGUAAGGAGAGCCACAUUCUCGGGACUGGAAUCAUAAAGAGGG